GACGAACGCUGGCGGCGUGCCUAAUACAUGCAAGUUGAGCGCUGAAGGUUGGUACUUGUACCAACUGGAUGAGCAGCGAACGGGUGAGUAACGCGUGGGGAAUCUGCCUUUGAGCGGGGGACAACAUUUGGAAACGAAUGCUAAUACCGCAUAAAAACUUUAAACACAAGUUUUAAGUUUGAAAGAUGCAAUUGCAUCACUCAAAGAUGAUCCCGCGUUGUAUUAGCUAGUUGGUGAGGUAAAGGCUCACCAAGGCGAUGAUACAUAGCCGACCUGAGAGGGUGAUCGGCCACAUUGGGACUGAGACACGGCCCAAACUCCUACGGGAGGCAGCAGUAGGGAAUCUUCGGCAAUGGACGAAAGUCUGACCGAGCAACGCCGCGUGAGUGAAGAAGGUUUUCGGAUCGUAAAACUCUGUUGGUAGAGAAGAACGUUGGUGAGAGUGGAAAGCUCAUCAAGUGACGGUAACUAUCCAGAAAGGGACGGCUAACUACGUG
rnacentral:rRNA from 1 species